GUGGGAUUAGUGGAUGAACUUGAGUACUUAGCUAUGAGAAGCACCCUCUGAAGGGUUGUACAAGUGGAACAUCUCAGCUUCUCAUUUACAAAAGCAGACUUGUCACCAUUCUUCUUUCAUGUCCAAACUCAGAGGAUACAGGAUAGAUGUGGAAAGGUCUUCAAGUUUAUACGUAUGUGUCCUUAUACCUCCAAUCUUCACAAAAAGGAGCACUGGACACACAUUCCUGGUAAUCUUGUGAAUAUUCACCAGGUGCUUUCUCUAUACUCAAGGACUGGCUUGAAAAAAAAAAUGGCUGCUGGAAAACAAACAAGUCAAAUUGAUGGAUUUUUAUAUCUUUCCUGUCCCCAAUGAUCUUCAAACUUUAAACAGAUUCCUUGAGUGAGAAUUCUUGGCACUCACUUAUCUAUCCCCGUUUCCUUUAUGAACUCUAUGAAAGAAAAAAAGCAAGUGAAACUUAUUCACUCAUCUAUCUCUAGCACCUAACACAUGGCCCAGUUGUUAGCAGAGAACCAACUUGUCUGACCACAGUGGGAGAGGAUGUGCCUAUGCUCUGCCAUUGAGCAUUUGUUAACCCCAAAAGACCACCAAGAAGCCAAUUCCAAUGCAAUUGCAUUAGGGUCUCUUUACUACACAGUCAAGAUUGGGCUCCCCACCUACCCUGACACAGCAGGACGGGAAGAUGGAGCCCAAACCUAGUUUCACACAAGCAUUUAUAAAGGCAAGUAAACAAGCAAGGAUGUUUCUAACCUGGCAUAUAUUUGAUUGGGGGCGGGCAAUUAACAUAAUUGGCUGGUGUUGGAAGCCAAACCAUAAACUUACUUUCUGUGUUUCUUCUGAUUGGUGGUUGUUAGGAAGUGAAGUGCCACGAGGCAGACUUGUAACCUGGAGGUCCAGAUUUGUUGAGGAGUAACCUGGAAAUUGGUGCUAGGUGCUGGCUUGUUAGUUAAUCUGAGUUCAACCUUAGAUCAGUUUCUCUAAGAUGGAGUCUGAACCUAAAAGAUCUGAUCUCUCACCUGUAAAGACUUGAUGCCCCAGGGAAGGGGGAUGCUCCCCCUGUGGGGGUAGCACCCUCUUAGAGGAGAAGGGGAAGGGAUUGGGGUCAAGAGUUCUGGGAAGGGACACUGGAAAGUGGGCAACAUUUGGGAUGUGAAUAAAUAAAAUAAUUAAUUUUAAAAACUUAAUAAAAAAGUGACUGAAUAUAAAAGGCUGAUUACUAGAAGUGUUAGAUAACUUAUUUGUUAUCACAAAGUGAGCCAGAAUUCAGUGUCUUCGGACUCAGAGAGAAGAUCUAUAAAUUCUAACUGGGUGUAUACAGUCUAAAAAGUUAGCUAAUUCACUAACUCACAUUUAGUACUAUCACCCUAUCCAACUACUCAUGGCUGGAAGGAUCAUAGACCCUAGAAGAGAAACUACUACUGCCAUUUUCCCAAGCCAAUAUUAUUUCUAACUACAUACUAAAACACUUGCUUUUAUACCUGCAAAUAAGUAUGGUUUUUACCCCUUAUUUAGGAACUUUCUCUUUUAAUCAGAGAUUGUUACAGAGAUCUACAACUGGUCAAACACAAAGCGUAAGUGAUCAUGGGUGCACAACCCCAAACAACACAUCUGUAAUGCAAGCCCUACACCUAAGUCUCAGGGAAACAUCUCAGAAGAGAGAGAGAAGACUGUGAGAGCCAGAGAACCAGGAUAUCUGCUGUGAGAUAGUGUCUUCUUGACAGUACAGGAAAGCUACCGCCGUGACAUCACAACAAUAUGGUUGCCUAAACAAGACCUACAUAAUGACAAUAUCAGUUAUCAUGCCAGCAUGGAUGAGGAAAAUGUCAUAAGACAUUGUACCUAGGUGAAGAGAUGUACUCAGCCAUUGGAUGCUGAGAGAGUGCUACUUAAGCCCUACUAGGGAGCCCUACAUAUGAGCAAAACUAUAUUUUCUCAGUAGUAUACAUAUAUAGCAAUUUUUAUAAGGGUUAUCCAUUUGUGAGGGAGUAUAGGGUUAUCAGAGGAGAUAGAGGAGUGCAAAUGAUGUAAACACAGAAGUCACAUAUAAAAUUCUCAAAACUAAAAAUUAAAAUAAGACCAAGUAUCUACCUUGUUUUAGGUAGGGUUUCUAUUUACUGUAACAAAACACCAUGACCAAAAAGGAAGUUGGGGAGGAAAGGAUUUAUUUGGCCUACAUUUCCACAUCUAUAGUCCAUCACUGGAAGUAGUCAGAACUGGAACUCAAGCAGGGUUGGAACCUGGAUGCAGGAGCUGAUGCAGAGGCCAUGGGGCAGGGUAGUGUUGCUUACUGGCCUGCUUCCCAUGGCUUGCUCAGCCUGCUUUCUUAUAGAACACAGGACAUCAGCCCAGGGAUGGCACCACCCACUAUGAGCUGCCCCUGCCCGAGUUGAUCACUAAUUGAGAAAAUGCCCCACAGCUGGAUCUCAUGAAGGCACUUCCUCAACUGAGGCUCCUUCCUCUCUGAUGACUCUAACUUGUUCCAGUGUGACACACAAAACCAGCCAGUACAUAGCUAUAAAGCAAGCCAAUUUUCCAAAAAGGGAGGAGAGAAUGGCAGGAUGACUCUCAACAGCAACCAUCAUCCUCUCUAGGCUUCAUGCCAGGUUAAUGGAGGGUGAAAGGUGAAGAAGGAGUGUUAGGCCCACUCUUACCAACACCUGACAUCCUUGGUGAGCUUCACAGUCCAGCUAAUGGUAGGCAAAAUUGUUCUGUUAAAAUGGAAUGAAAUGAAUUAAAGAUCAACAACACACUUAAAGCAGCCCCAUUUCUCAUGUUUCCAACUUUAAUCCCUUCACCAGUGUUUUUUAGGAGAUGUCGGCAGUAAAAUGGUCAAAAACUAGGCAGAGAGCAGGAUGGGAAGAGUUCUGGAAGCUUUGACACAAUCUGAUGGCCGUGUGGACCUAUGCUAACAGAGACUAGCCCAGGGCCAGGGCCUUCACCAGAUGCCAACGUUUUCUAUCAUGUCUCUGCUGGAAAUUCUCAUGACCAAAAAUGCUUAAUAAAUAGCAACACAAAAACAAACAGUGAUGAAUGACAUGAGAAGCUGAGUUCAGCAAAUAGCUAGAUUUUUGCUUAAAACUGAAAGUAGCAAGAUUGUGUGCUGUGUGCCAGAGAGAGAUUACAUCUUCAACUCUGUUUUAUCUCUGUCUUUCUGAUAUGUGAUGGCUGUGUAGAUGGGACAGAUACAGGUCUUCACUGGUGUGUUUGCACAUGAUGGGUGUCAUGGUGACAGUAAAAGUGGACCCAGUAAACAAGACAUAGGAUCCUGAAGAAAUGAAGGCUUUUUAUAUCUUUUCCCUGUUUCUUGAUUUCUCAAUCCUGCAGGAAAUAUGUAUGUGGGCCACAAUUCUGAGGCUUGGAACUUUGCAAAUGUUUCUAUAACCGGACGUGGUCAUUCUCAUACCCUACUGUGUCAAAAUGUAUUAUUUUUAAUGUAUACUUGCAUCCUUUCCUUAGCAACAAUGCUGAAGUGGGUAAUGUCUAUGGAUUUAACGGUCCUGUAGAGGUCCUUGGGUAUUAAUACACUGACAUUUUAGCUCAGCGUUCCACCCGCCCACAUGCUAUUGAAAACCAAAUCCCAUUAAACUUUCUGAGAGGGGACAAAUAAAUAGUCUAAAUCCUACCCACAUUCCCCAUCACAUGAUCAGUUUCUUCUAAGCAGCAAAAUAAUCAGAAUUGUUAGUAUUUAAUCACUUUGGAAAAAACAAGUUCACACAGACUCUCCACAUUAUAACUUCUUCAGUGCUUUAAGCCAAAUACUUCCAUGAAACACAGCUUUCUUGCCACUCACUUGUUCUUUCUCCUAAAUCGGAAUAUAAAUGUUUUCAGCUUUUUCUUGGACAGCUGAUGCUUUUGCACUGGGUGGUUUUGAUAUUGAGAAUCAGAAUAGAAGAAGGGUUCAUUAACAGAAAGCCCAUUUUUCUUGACAUGUGUUUCCACUGGCAGCAAUUUGCCAGAUACUUCCAUCUUUCACGAUAGACACGACCAGGUAAACAAAGGCUCUCUUAUUCCAAUUGUUGUCACUAAUAUUAAUUCUCAUGUCCCUCCAUAAACAUAUCUGUGUGAGUUGGUUUUUGUCAACUUGACAUAAAGCUAGACACACUUGGGAAAAGGGGAAUCUUAAUUGAUAAAUUGCCACCAUAAGACUGGCCUGUAGGCAAGUCUGUUGUACCAUUUUAUUAAUUACUGAUUAAUUUGGGAGGACCUGGCUCAUGACUGGGCAUGUCCUGAAGUGUAUAACAAAGCAUGCUGAUCAGUCCAUGAGGAGCAAGCCAGUGAGCAACAUCCCUUCAUAGCCUUAGCGUCAGCUCCUGCAUCCAGGUUCCUUCAUUACUUUUUUCCCUGACUUCCACUCAUGAUGGAUUGUUACAUACAAAUGUAAGAUGAAAUAAACCCUUUUUUCUUCAAGUUGCUUUCUGUAAUGGUAUUUACCCUAACUUAUAAAAUAAUCUUUAUAUCUAUGUUCAUCUUCCUUAUUUGUUUUUGUAAAUUACAGAAUAAUGGCAAAUGGUUUAAAAAGCAAAUGAUUUCAAAUAGGUAUAUGAAUCCAGAGCUAGAAAAAUAUAAUAAUAGAAAGUAUUCUUUAUGUGGGUGAGAUAAUAAAUCAAACAAACCUGGAGAAUCUACUCAGGCUGCUGGCUAUAGGUUGUAGAUUCAGGUUGCAGGCUCAGAGUCAGGAUGAAGGAGCAAAGUCAAGUGAAGGGCAGUGCCAGGUCUACACAGCUGGAUGGGUGGCAGCUCUUGGUAUAUUAAUGGCUGGCUAGAUGGACUGUACAUUCAGAUGGGUGACUGAGAAGAAGAAUGGUCAUGGCAGAUGCCAUUUCUAGGGCCCUCAUCAGCAGGAAGUCCAAGCCAAACUAAAGUCUCUGGGAUAGUUAGGAAUUCUUAGCCUGAUGAUCCUUUGAUGUCCACACCAGAUGGUCAGAAGACCCUUUGCAUUACUACAGGGUCCAGAUGAGAGAGUUACAUCUUUUAAUGUGACUAUUAUGCCCUCAAGUUCUUCCUCCUGAUUUUCCUCCUAUGAUCUUAAUAAAGUCUUGUGAGGCUAUGCCAGUGCCUGGCAAAUACAGAAGUCGAUGCUCACAGUCAUCUAUUGAAUGGAACACAGGACCCCCAAUGGAGGAACUAGAGAAAGUACCCAAGGAGCUAAAGGGGUCGGCAACCAUAUAGAAGGAACAGCAAUAUGAACUAAUCAGUACUCCCCAAGCUCGUGUCUCUAGCUGCAUAUAUAGCAGAAGAUGGCCUAGUCGGCCAUCAUUGGGAAGAGAGGUCCCUUGGUCGUGCAAACUUUAUAUGCCCCAGUACAGGGAAAUGCCAAGGCCAAAAAGUGGGAGUGGGUAGGUAGGGGAGCAGGGCGGGGGGCAGGGGUUAGGGGACUUUCGAGAUAGCAUUUGAAAUGUAAAUGAAGAAAAUACCUAAUAAAAAAUGAAAAAAAAAUAUAAAGUCCUUGACUUUCAAUUAACUCCCAACAAAUGUGUGGGGAGGCAAGCUUUUAACUUCCAGGAAUAAGUCAUUUCUCAUUCUGGGAUGGAUAGGUGACAACACAUUGCUCAUCUGUCAAUCCAGAGGCAGAGUCAUUCUGUGUCUUCAAAAAUGGAGCCAAUGACACUUGUAAAAUGGAGUCUCUUUGGCAAGGCACAAUCUGAAAAGCCAGAUUUAGCCUGGGGAAAGACACAACUCUGUCUCCUUUAGGUGCAUUGCUG
rnacentral:lncRNA from 1 species